rnacentral:rRNA from 1 species
UGCAACCUACCUUAAUCAGGGGGAUAGCCCGAAGAAAUUCGGAUUAACACCGCAUAAAAACACAGGGUAGCAUUACCCAAUGUUCAAAUAUUUAUAGGAUUAAGAUGGGCAUGCGUGUCAUUAGCUAGUUGGCGGGGUAACGGCCCACCAAGGCGACGAUGACUAGGGGAUCUGAGAGGAUGACCC